UACGUAGGGAGCGAGCGUUGUCCGGAAUCAUUGGGCGUAAAGAGCAUGUAGGUGGAUCAAUUAGUCUGCUGUGAAAGUCAAAGGCUCAACCUUUGAAAGCCGGUGGAUACUGUUGAUCUAGAGUACGGAAGAGGCGAGUGGAAUUCCUGGUGUAGCGGUGGAAUGCGCAGAUAUCAGGAGGAACACCAAUAGCGAAGGCAGCUCGCUGGGACGUUACUGACACUGAGAUACGAAAGCGUGGGGGAGCAAACAGG
rnacentral:rRNA from 1 species